CGCGGCCUAUCAGCUUGUUGGUGGGGUAAUGGCCUACCAAGGCUUCGACGGGUAGCCGGCCUGAGAGGGUGACCGGCCACACUGGGACUGAGACACGGCCCAGACUCCUACGGGAGGCAGCAGUGGGGAAUAUUGGACAAUGGGCGGAAGCCUGAUCCAGCAACGCCGCGUGAGGGAUGACGGCCUUCGGGUUGUAAACCUCUUUCAGCACAGACGAAGCGCAAGUGACGGUAUGUGCAGAAGAAGGACCGGCCAACUAGGUGCCAGCAGCCGCGGUAAUACGUAGGGUCCGAGCGUUGUCCGGAAUUAUUGGGCGUAAAGGGCUCGUAGGCGGUUUGUCGCGUCGGGAGUGAAAACACCGGGCUUAACUCGGUGCUUGCUUUCGAUACGGGCAGACUAGAGGUAUUCAGGGGAGAACGGAAUUCCUGGUGUAGCGGUGAAAUGCGCAGAUAUCAGGAGGAACACCGGUGGCGAAGGCGGUUCUCUGGGAAUAUCCUGACGCUGAGGAGCGAAAGUGUGGGGAGCGAACAGGAUUAGAUACCCUGGUAGUCCACACCGUAAACGUUGGGCGCUAGGUGUGGGGUCCAUUCCACGGAUUCCGUGCCGCAGCUUACGCAUUAAGCGCCCCGCCUGGGGAGUACGG
rnacentral:rRNA from 1 species